CAGCAGCCGCGGGAAUACGGAGGGGGCUAGCGUUGUUCGGAAUUACUGGGCGUAAAGCGCACGUAGGCGGCUUGGUAAGUUAGAGGUGGAAGCCCGGAGCUCAACUCCGGAAUUGCCUUUAAGACUGCCGAGCUAGUAGGUGAGAGAGGUAAGUGGAAUUCCGAGUGUAGCGGUGAAAUGCGUAGAGAUGUGGAGGAACACCAGUGGCGAAGGCGACUCCCUGGUCUGUAACUGACGCUGAGGAGCGAAAGCGUGGGGAGCGAACAGGAUUAGAUACCCCAGUAGUCCUGUCUCUUAUACA
rnacentral:rRNA from 1 species